UAACAAAAACAUGUCUUUUUGAUUAUAAUUUAAAGUCUAAUCUGCCCACUGAGGAAUUAAAUGGCCGCGGUAUUUUGACCGUGCAAAGGUAGCAUAAUAAUUAGUUUUUUAAUUGAAAGCUGGAAUGAAUGAUUGAAUGAGAAAAAAACUGUCUCUAAUUAAUUUAUAUUGAAUUUUAUUUUUAAGUAAAAAAGCUUAAAUUUUAUUAAAAGACGAGAAGACCCUAUAGAGUUUUAUAAAACAAAAAUUUAUUGUAUUUAGUUUAAAAAAUUUAAAUUGUAAGUUUUAUUUUGUUGGGGUGAUAGAAAAAUUUAAUAAACUUUUUUUUAUUUAAUACAUUAAUGAAUGAAUUAUUGAUCCAAUUUUUUUGAUUAAAAGAUAAAAUUACCUUAGGGAUAACAGCGUAAUUUUUUUUGAGAGUUCUUAUCGAAAAAAAAGAUUGCGACCUCGAUGUUGGAUUAAAAUUAAUUUUUGGUGUAGAAGCUAAAAAAUUAGGUCUGUUCGACCUUUAAAAUUUUACAUGAUCUGAGUUCAGA
rnacentral:rRNA from 1 species